AAUAUUGGAAAAUGGGGGCAACCCUGAUCCAGCCAUGCCGCGUGUGUGAAGAAGGUCUUAGGAAUGUAAAGCACUUUACGUUGGGAGGAAGGGCUUUAGGCUAAUACCCUGAAGUUUUGACGUUACCAACAGAAUAAGCACCGGCUAACUUCGUUCCAGCAGUCGCGGUAAUACGAAGGGUGCAAGCGUUAAUCAGAAUUAUUGGGCGUAAAGCGUGCGUAGGUGGUUCGUUAAGUUGGAAGUGAAAGCCCCGGGCUUAACCUGGGAAUUGCUUUCAAAACUGACGAGCUAGAGUACGGUAGAGGGUAGUGGAAUUUCCUGUGUAGCGGUGAAAUGCGUAGAUAUAGGAAGGAACAUCAGUGGCGAAGGCGACUACCUGGACUGAUACUGACACUGAGGUGCGAAAGCGUGGGGAGCAAACA
rnacentral:rRNA from 1 species